rnacentral:rRNA from 1 species
AUUGAACGCUGGCGGCAGGCCUAACACAUGCAAGUCGAGCGAGCGGCGGACGGGUGAGUAAUGUAUGGGGACUGCCCGAUAGAGGGGGAUAACUACUGGAAACGGUAGCUAAUACCGCAUACUAUCGGAUAACCCAUAUCGUAUUAGCUAGUUGGUGGGGUAAAGGCUCACCAAGGCAACGAUCCGUAGCUGGUUUGAGAGGACGACCAGCCACACUGGGACUGAGAAACGGCCAAGACUCCUACGGAGGCAGCAGUGGGGAAUUUUGGACAAUGGGGGAAACCCUGAUCCAGCAAUCACGCGUGUAUGAUGAAGGCCUUCGGGUUGUAAAGUAAUUUUGGCAGAGAAGCGGUAUCUGAAGAAUAAGCACCGGCUAACUACGUGCCAGCAGCCGCGGUAAUUC